rnacentral:rRNA from 1 species
UACGUAGGGGGCAAGCGUUGUCCGGAUUUAUUGGGCGUAAAGCGCACGUAGGCGGCUUUGCAAGUCAGAGGUGAAAGCCCGGGGCUCAACCCCGGAAUUGCCUUUGAGACUGCAUCGCUAGAAUUGUGGAGAGGUAAGUGGAAUUCCGAGUGUAGAGGUGAAAUUCGUAGAUAUUCGGAAGAACACCAGUGGCGAAGGCGACUUACUGGACACAUAUUGACGCUGAGGUGCGAAAGCGUGGGGAGCAAACAGG